AUCAAACGAUUUUACAGAAUUAGCUAUCAAGAAGCUUUUCAUUCCCUUUGAAUCUGUGUUGCAAUCUAAGCUGUUUUCCUACUGUUGCUCCUUUCGUCUGUGUAAAUAGUUGAGCUACACAACAUAUAUACAAACCAUUCUGUGGCACAUGCAUAUUUACUGGCUUUACAAUUCCAAUCUGGUAAUUGACGGUGGAAGUUUUCCGAGGCAGUCAUGUAUUAACAUGAUCAAGACAAAGGAUGAUUGCAUGAUUUGGUUGUUAUUCCUGCACAUGUUGUCAUAAUGGGAUCAGCUGCGAGGCUUUCACAUGUUGUAGCGCACGCUAGCAAUUGACAGGCCACGCCAGUGGAUCCGCAUCAUGAUCAUGAGUUUGAUUCUCUGCAUAGAGUAGAAGUUUAGAAGAGUGAAAGCAGUGACAACAAAGCCUGAUCCCAAACUAGUUGGGAUCGGUUACACAGAAGCAAAUUUCAAAUGAUCAAAGAACACUACUAAUUUUUUAGUUCCAUCUACCAAUGAAUGAGGAGCAUCAAUAACCCGUAUCAGUGAUGGAAAAAAAAAUAAAGUCGAAACCAGC
rnacentral:lncRNA from 1 species